rnacentral:rRNA from 1 species
GGGUAGAGGAAGCUUGCUUCCUUGAGACCGGCGCACGGGUGCGUAACGCGUAUGCAAUCUGCCUUGUACUGAGGGAUAGCCCAGAGAAAUUUGGAUUAAUACCUCAUAGCAUUAUGAAAUCGCAUGGUUUUAUAAUUAAAGUUCCAACGGUACAAGAUGAGCAUGCGUCCCAUUAGUUAGUUGGUAAGGUAACGGCUUACCAAGACGAUGAUGGGUAGGGGUCCUGAGAGGGAGAUCCCCCACACUGGUACUGAGACACGGACCAGACUCCUACGGGAGGCAGCAGUGAGGAAUAUUGGUCAAUGGACGCAAGUCUGAACCAGCCAUGCCGCGUGCAGGAUGAAGCAUCUAUGGUGUGUAAACUGCUUUUGUACGGGAAGAAACAUUCCUACGUGUAGGAACUUGACGGUACCGUAAGAAUAAGGAUCGGCUAACUCCGUGCCAGCAGCCGCGGUAAUACGGAGGAUCCAAGCGUUAUCCGGAAUCAUUGGGUUUAAAGGGUCCGUAGGCGGCUUUAUAAGUCAGUGGUGAAAGCCCAUCGCUUAACGAUGGAACGGCCAUUGAUACUGUAGAGCUUGAAUUACUUGGAAGUAACUAGAAUAUGUAGUGUAGCGGUGAAAUGCUUAGAUAUUACAUGGAAUACCAAUUGCGAAGGCAGGUUACUACAAGUGGAUUGACGCUGAUGGACGAAAGCGUGGGGAGCGAACAGGAUUAGAUACCCUGGUAGUCCACGCCGUAAACGAUGGAUACUAGCUGUUCGGAGCAAUCUGAGUGGCUAAGCGAAAGUGAUAAGUAUCCCACCUGGGGAGUACGCACGCAAGUGUGAAACUCAAAGGAAUUGACGGGGGCCCGCACAAGCGGAGGAGCAUGUGGUUUAAUUCGAUGAUACGCGAGGAACCUUACCAGGGCUUAAAUGGGAGACGACAGGACUGGAAACAGUUUUUUCUUCGGACGUCUUUCAAGGUGCUGCAUGGUUGUCGUCAGCUCGUGCCGUGAGGUGUCAGGUUAAGUCCUAUAACGAGCGCAACCCCUAUUGUUAGUUGCCAUCGGGUCAUGCCGGGAACUCUAACAAGACUGCCGGUGCAAACCGUGAGGAAGGUGGGGAUGACGUCAAAUCAUCACGGCCCUUACGUCCUGGGCUACACACGUGCUACAAUGGACGGUACAGAGAGCAGCCACUGCGCGAGCAGGAGCGAAUCUUCAAAGCCGUUCUCAGUUCGGAUCGGAGUCUGCAACUCGACUCCGUGAAGCUGGAUUCGCUAGUAAUCGCAUAUCAGCCAUGAUGCGGUGAAUACGUUCCCGGG